GAGGCUUCACCUAUAAAUAACACAAGAAUUUUCAUCCAAAACAUAAAACCUUCUUUCUCAAUCUACUCUGCGUUUUCAGUUGCUUAUUUCUCCCUAUUGCAAUUGCCCCUUUUACACAUAUUAGGCAUACUAUAAAAGGGAGUGUGUGGAAUGAUAAAGUGUUCCAUAUCCAAUUCAACUUAUCUUUCGUUUCCUGUGUUUUUAGUUGCAGAUUACCUUUAACUAUGGCAGCACUAAUUUCUUCGUGGGAUUUUGGUUAUAGGUUUUGCGAGGAUGAAUCACAUUGAAGAAUUUAGGUUGUAAAGAAAGAUAGAUAGUGCCUUAGGGAGACAUGGCCUUUAAUUGUUAGAAGAGAAUAGUAGCAUAAGAAGAAUGUUGCAGCAGAAGAAAAAUAUUUUGCAUAUCAUUUUUGUUUGGGCGUGUAUUGGAUAUACUAUUACUGGAACUCUAUUCAUUGAUGUACCAUUGUUGAUUCUGCAUCUGAUUUCUCAUUACAAAGUAGUACAAAGUUAUUCAAGCUACAUGUUAUCGUUUGUUGGCAGAACUAUGUGAAUCUGGUGUAUCCUUUUUCACUUCUUUUGUGUGAAUUUAAAGUUUGAUAACAUGAACUAUGGUAUGUGACCAGUGAAAUGUGCUAUUUACCAAUAUGCUCUCAUUCUUAUGUUGCUUAUGUUAUCAGUAAUUAAUUCAUGGGUUUUACAAAAGAUCUUAUCUGAGGGGUCCUCCACACAUAAAUCUUCUCAUUAUCCCAACCUAGAGUACCUGUAUGUGUAGUGAGUCCUUAUUCUUCCAAGUUUUUGAAAGUGUCUUGAGGACUUUCUAGCAGCACUUUCCCAGCAAUUAUUUUCUUCAUUCUUUUGUGUUUAUUUUUCUGCUUUCUUUUUUUCUUUUAAAAUAGUGACAUGUGAUUUCAAUUUUUUCUUUUCCUUUUGUUCAGCAUCCAAGAAAGUUGGCUAUUGGAGAAGACUUUCAUUAUUAAUCUACACUGUGAGACUCAGCACAUAAAUAAUACGCUGAAAAAAUCUACCUCAAGCAAUGGCUAUGAGGAUGACCAUGCACGUCUAUUCAUAUUCUCCUUAUUAUUAUUUUAGUCAACAUUUGAAACAGAAACUAGGUGAUGUUUUUAGGUGCAAGAGCCAAUUCACCUCAUAAUAUAUUUAUGUUUGCGCAGAAAAAUUACUGUCCUUUUAUUUUUUGUUAUUUAAAUAAAUUUAGGGUUUAAAUAUGGAUGUGUGUCAUUUUAAUGAAAUCGGGGAAAAUA